UCGUCUCCUCUUCCAGAUGGUGUAUUUGGACCCGAGAGACUGUUUACUCACUGUGGGUGGCAAAUAUUGACACUGAAACCAACUCCGCUGCUGUGGUUGCUAGCUUGCUGGUCCCAGGAAACCUGGGCUCCCAGGCAAUUGCUGACUCCUCCCUCCCACAAAGCAAAGUCACCCAACUUCAUUUUGCUUAGACUGCUAAUAAAAUAAGCUGCCAUUCUCAAAGACACUCAAGUGGAUAGAAAAACCAGGUUUCAAAGCUUCUUCCAGUGUGAUGGGGGCAGGGAUCACGUGUGUGGCAAAGCAGAUGCACUAUCCAGGGGAAGAAAAGAAAUCACAGUUGCACAGAAAUAAAAAUGCAUGCCCAUGGUAAAGAAAACCACAAAAGCAAUUGGAAAAUGCAGAACCAGCCCCUGACUAGCAGGCCUUCUCCCUCCCUCUCCCUUGGAAAAGAAAUCACUCUUUCCAGACAUGA